rnacentral:rRNA from 1 species
GAUGAACGCUGGCGGCGUGCCUAAUACAUGCAAGUCGAGCGAACGGACGAGAAGCUUGCUUCUCUGAUGUUAGCGGCGGACGGGUGAGUAACACGUGGAUAACCUACCUAUAAGACUGGGAUAACUUCGGGAAACCGGAGCUAAUACCGGAUAAUAUUUUGAGCCGCAUGGUUCAAAAGUGAAAGACGGUCUUGCUGUCACUUAUAGAUGGAUCCGCGCUGCAUUAGCUAGUUGGUAAGGUAACGGCUUACCAAGGCAACGAUGCAUAGCCGACCUGAGAGGGUGAUCGGCCACACUGGAACUGAGACACGGUCCAGACUCCUACGGGAGGCAGCAGUAGGGAAUCUUCCGCAAUGGGCGAAAGCCUGACGGAGCAACGCCGCGUGAGUGAUGAAGGUCUUCGGAUCGUAAAACUCUGUUAUUAGGGAAGAACAUAUGUGUAAGUAACUGUGCACAUCUUGACGGUACCUAAUCAGAAAGCCACGGCUAGCUACGUG